GUGGGGAAUAUUGGGCAAUGGGGGAAACCCUGACCCAGCAACGCCGCGUGAAGGAAGAAGGCUUUCGGGUUGUAAACUUCUUUUAUGAGGGAAGAUAAUGACGGUACCUCAUGAAUAAGCCACGGCUAACUACGUGCCAGCAGCCGCGGUAAUACGUAGGUGGCAAGCGUUGUCCGGAUUUACUGGGUGUAAAGGGCGUGUAGGCGGGACUGCAAGUCAGAUGUGAAAUUUCGGGGCUCAACCCCGAAACUGCAUUUGAAACUGUGGUUCUUGAGUAUCGGAGAGGCAGGCGGAAUUCCUAGUGUAGCGGUGAAAUGCGUAGAUAUUAGGAGGAACACCAGUGGCGAAGGCGGCCUGCUGGACGACAACUGACGCUGAGGCGCGAAAGCGUGGGGAGCAAACAGGAUUAGAAACCCGGGUAGUCC
rnacentral:rRNA from 1 species